GCGCCUGUGGUAUAAUGGUUAUUACCUCAGCCUUCCAAGCUGAAGAUGUCGGUUCGAUUCCGAUCGGGCGCU
rnacentral:tRNA from 1 species